rnacentral:rRNA from 1 species
CCUACGGGAGGCAGCAGUGGGGAAUAUUGCACAAUGGGGGAAACCCUGAUGCAGCGACGCCGCGUGAGCGAGGAAGUAUUUCGGUAUGUAAAGCUCUAUCAGCAGUGACGAAAAAAGACGGUACCUGACUAAGAAGCCCCGGCUAACUACGUGCCAGCAGCCGCGGUAAUACGUAGGGGGCAAGCGUUAUCCGGAUUUACUGGGUGUAAAGGGAGCGUAGACGGGAACGCAAGCCAGAAGUGAAAGGGCAGGGCUCAACCCUGUACAUGCUUUUGGAACUGUGGUGGUGGAGUGCAGGAGAGGUAAGUGGAAUUCCUGGUGUAGCGGUGAAAUGCGUAGAUAUUAGGAGGAACACCAGUGGCGAAGGCGGCUUACUGGACUGUAACUGACGUUGAGGCUCGAAAGCGUGGGGAGCAAACAGGAUUAGAUACCCUUGUAGUC